rnacentral:rRNA from 1 species
UACGUAGGUGGCAAGCGUUGUCCGGAUUUACUGGGCGUAAAGAGCGCGCAGGCGGUCGUUCAAGUCGCGUGUGAAAGCCCCCGGCUCAACUGGGGAGGGUCACGCGAUACUGAUCGACUGGAAGGCAGGAGAGGGUAGUGGAAUUCCCGGUGUAGUGGUGAAAUGCGUAGAUAUCGGGAGGAACACCAGUGGCGAAGGCGGCUCACUGGACUGGUACUGACGCUGAGGCGCGAAAGCGUGGGGAGCAAACGGG